AGGAAUAUUGGUCAAUGGACGAGAGUCUGAACCAGCCAAGUAGCGUGAAGGAUGAAGGUCCUACGGAUUGUAAACUUCUUUUAUAAGGGAAUAAACCCUCCCACGUGUGGGAGCUUGUAUGUACCUUAUGAAUAAGCAUCGGCUAACUCCGUGCCAGCAGCCGCGGUAAUACGGAGGAUGCGAGCGUUAUCCGGAUUUAUUGGGUUUAAAGGGAGCGCAGACGGGUCGUUAAGUCAGCUGUGAAAGUUUGGGGCUCAACCUUAAAAUUGCAGUUGAUACUGGCGUCCUUGAGUGCGGUUGAGGUGUGCGGAAUUCGUGGUGUAGCGGUGAAAUGCUUAGAUAUCACGAAGAACUCCGAUUGCGAAGGCAGCACACUAAUCCGUAACUGACGUUCAUGCUCGAAAGUGUGGGUAUCAAACAGGAUUAGAUACCCUGGUAGUCCACACGGUAAACGAUGGAUACUCGCUGUUGGCGAUAUACUGUCAGCGGCUUAGCGAAAGCGUUAAGUAUCCCACCUGGGGAGUACGCCGGCAACGGUGAAACUCAAAGGAAUUGACGGGGGCCCGCACAAGCGGAGGAACAUGUGGUUUAAUUCGAUGAUACGCGAGGAACCUUACCCGGGCUUAAAUUGCAAAGGAAUAAUCUGGAAACAGGUUAGUCUUCGGACCUUUGUGAAGGUGCUGCAUGGUUGUCGUCAGCUCGUGCCGUGAGGUGUCGGCUUAAGUGCCAUAACGAGCGCAACCCUCGCCGCCAGUUACUAACAGUUAAAGCUGAGGACUCUGGCGGGACUGCCAUCGUAAGAUGUGAGGAAGGUGGGGAUGACGUCAAAUCAGCACGGCCCUUACGUCCGGGGCUACACACGUGUUACAAUGGGCGGUACAGAAGGCAGCUACCUGGCGACAGGAUGCCAAUCCCUAAAGCCGCUCUCAGUUCGGACUGGAGUCUGCAACCCGACUCCACGAAGCUGGAUUCGCUAGUAAUCGCGCAUCAGCCACGGCGCGGUGAAUACGUUCCCGGGCCUUGUACACACCGCCCGUCAAGCCAUGAAAGCCGGGGGUACCUGAAGUGCGUAACCGCAAGGAGCGCCCUAGGGUAAAACCGGUAAUUGGGGCUAAGUCGUAACAAGGUAGCCGUACCGGAAGGUGCGGCUG
rnacentral:rRNA from 1 species